GUGGGGAAUUUUGGACAAUGGGCGCAAGCCUGAUCCAGCAAUGCCGCGUGCAGGAAGAAGGCCUUCGGGUUGUAAACUGCUUUUGUACGGAACGAAAAGGUUCGGGUUAAUACCCUGGGCUCAUGACGGUACCGUAAGAAUAAGCACCGGCUAACUCCGUGCCAGCAGCCGCGGUAAUACGUAGGGUGCAAGCGUUAAUCGGAAUUACUGGGCGUAAAGCGUGCGCAGGCGGUUUUGUAAGACAGGCGUGAAAUCCCCGGGCUCAACCUGGGAAUGGCGCUUGUGACUGCAAAGCUGGAGUGCGGCAGAGGGGGAUGGAAUUCCGCGUGUAGCAGUGAAAUGCGUAGAUAUGCGGAGGAACACCAAUGGCGAAGGCAAUCCCCUGGGCCUGCACUGACGCUCAUGCACGAAAGCGUGGGGAGCAAACAGGAUUAGAAACCCCUGUAGUCC
rnacentral:rRNA from 1 species